rnacentral:rRNA from 1 species
AGAGUUUGAUCCUGGCUCAGGACGAACGCUGGCGGCGCGCCUAACACAUGCAAGUCGAACGAGCAAGAGAGAGCUUGCUUUCUCGAGCGAGUGGCGAACGGGUGAGUAACGCGUGAGGAACCUGCCUCGAAGAGGGGACAACAGUUGGAAACGACUGCUAAUACCGNAUAAGCCCACGACCCGGCAUCGGGAAGAGGGAAAAGGAGCAAUCCGCUUUGAGAUGGCCUCGCGUCCGAUUAGCUAGUUGGUGAGGUAACGGCCACCAAGGCGACGAUCGGUAGCCGGACUGGAGAGGUUGAACGGCCACAUUGGGACUGAGACACGGCCCAGACUCCUACGGGAGGCA